AUGACCGAUCGAUCUCGCCAUUAUCGAGCUUCUGCUUCCCACCUUCUACUCAUAGUAGCUGUCUGUUCGAUCCGUCAAAUCCGGCCAGCCGAUCUUCAACAAGCUGCACCACUGCCAACUAGUACUGCCAACCCCACGGACGGAUCCAAGAGAGAGCGGCCGGCCAUGGAAGACGCCGUCCUCCUCACCGUGGCCAUCACCGUGUCCAUCCUCUGCUGCACGCUACUCCUCCGUGCAGCUCGCUCCCAUCACUCCAACUCCAAGCUCGUCACCACCGUCCCGCCGCCUUCCCCGUGGCGGCUCCCGCUCGUGGGCAACCUGCACCAGCUCGCGGGCGGCCGCCUCCCGCACCGCACGCUGGCCGCCCUAGCCGCCGCGCACGGCCCCGUCAUGCUCCUCCGCCUCGGCCAGGUCCCGGCCGUCGUCGUGUCCUCGCCCGACGCCGCGCGGGAGGUGAUGCUGGAGCAGGACCACGUCUUCGCCACCCGCCCGUCGCUCGCCAUCCCCUCCAAGCUCUUCUACGGCUGCACCGACGUCGCCUUCGCCCCGGACGGCCCCUACUGGCUGCACGCGCGGAAGACGUGCGUGCUCCACCUCCUCAGCCCCGCCAGGGUGCGGGCCUACCGCGCCGUCCGGGAGGAGGAGGUGGGCGCGCUCCUGGACAAGGUCCGGCGGCAGGCGCGCGUCGUGAACCUGAGCGAGCUCCUCGCCGGGUUUGCCAAGGACGUGAUCGGGCGGAUCGUGUUCGGGGCGAGCGCCGCCACGCGCGCCGACAGGUGGGGCGCCAAGGUGGACGCGCUGCUGGAGGAGGGCAACGCGCUGCUCGGAACGUUCCACGUCGGCGACUACUUCCCGAGACUGGCGUGGGUCGGCGCCCUGGACGGCACCGACGCCAAGGUCGGCAAGGCGUUCGACAGGAUCGACGCCGUUCUCGAGGAGAUCGUCGACGCCGUGGAGAGACGAAUGGGCCGAGUCCACGGAGGAGACGCGCUGGGGCUGCACGACAGCACCUUCGUCGACGUGCUGCUGUCUCUCGGCAACAACACCUCCGGCAACGGCACCGGCGGCGCGUCCCCGGAGCGGCGGUUCACGAGGGACAACGUCAAGGGGCUCCUAGCGAAUCUCUUCGGGGCAGGGGCAGACUCCACCAUCAUCGUGCUCGAAUGGGCCAUGGCAGAGCUGCUCCGCAACAAGGAGGCCAUGGAGAAGCUACAAGACGAGCUAAGGAGUAGAUCCGUAAGCACCAACUCCGAUAUGAUCACCGAAGAAGAUUUACAGGGGAUGGUCUACCUGAAAGCGGUGAUAAAGGAGACAAUGCGGCUGCACCCUCCCGGGCCGCUGCUGAUCCCCCGCGAGGCCAUGGAGUCCGCGAGGAUCCAGCAGUACGACGUGCCGAGCAAGACCAUGGUGAUCGUCAACGCGUGGGCCAUCGGAAGGGACCCGGGCAGCUGGGAGUCUCCGGAGGAGUUCCGACCGGAGAGGUUCCUCGGCACCGGCGGCGAGGUGGACUUCCGGGGCCGGCAUUUCCAGCUCGUGCCGUUCGGUUCCGGGAGGAGGGUGUGCCCGGGGAUCAACUUCACCAUGUCCAUCAUGGAGGUUGCGAUUGCCAACCUCGUCGGCCGGUUCGACUGGGCGCUGCCGGAGGGCGCGGCAGCGGCGGUGGACAUGGAGGAGGCGCCUGGGAUCACCUCACGGAAGAGGGUUCCGCUUCACGUCUUGGCUACACCGCGGGCGCAGGCAUCGUGCAAUCACGACGUGUAG
rnacentral:rRNA from 1 species